AAUUGGAAACAACUCUAUCAGGGACCUUCCUGAGCUCUCAGGAAGAGAGUCCCCAGAAAAUAUGGCUCCAUGUGAUGCUUUAACUGAAAGAUCCUUUGCCAAGUAGGUUGUGAAUGGACAUGGAUCUAGUCAGCUAUUUCAGUGAAUGUCAGGAUUGGUGUUUUAGGUCCCAAAA
rnacentral:sRNA from 1 species